GGUUUUUUGAGUUAAAAUGAAAAAUCUGACCUGCCCGCUGAAUAUUGAAGGGCCGCGGUAUUUUGACCGUGCUAAGGUAGCAUAAUCAUUAGUCUUUUAAUUGAGGACUGGAAUGAAUGGUUGGACGUAAUAACGACUUUUUUAUUGUUAAUAAUUGAAUUUACCUUUUUAGUGAAAAGGCUGAAAUAAGUUUAAAAGACAAGAAGACCCUAUCAAGUUUUAUUGCUUAUUAUAAUUUANUAUAUGAGUAUGGGAUAUAAGUAUGCAAUUUCGUUGGGGCAACGAGUGYAAAACUCAUUUUAGAUCCAUUAAUAGUGAUUAGAUGAUUAAAUUACUGUAGGGAUAACAGCGUAAUUCUAUUUGAGAGUUCAUAUCGACAAUGGAGAUUGCGACCUCGAUGUUGGAUUARAAUACCUUUAAAGGAGCAGUAUCUUUAAAAGGKGGUCUGUUCGACCAUGAAAAUUCUACA
rnacentral:rRNA from 1 species